rnacentral:rRNA from 1 species
AUGCCACGCCUACAGCCCCAGGUCAAGAGCAAUGCCUUCUUCAAGGUGCCAACCAAAAUGACACCUCUCCACACAUUUAUCACUAUAUUGUACAGAGAACCAAGUGCCCUGACCUAUGCUAUAAAGAGAUCAUGUGAAAACAAAGUUGAAGUUGUUGCUCUGGAUGAGAAGGAAAGUGAUCUUCGAGCAACACUAGACCUGGACCUAGAACCACUGGUUCACUUAGAACGAGUUAGUCGAUUGUUGUGA